UUCCUCCAGCAGAGCUGCACGCAUGAGGCGUGCAACUACGGCCGUCAGGUGCGAGCGGCUUCACCGGCGCGGCUCCGGCAACAUGGCCGCUACCAGCGCCCGGCUCGCCUUUGUCUACUGCUACUAGUCAAGGUAAAUAGAUCAAGGUGAAUAGAUACUUAUGGACUGAUUCAAACCGAGGUGGAGAUAGAUAAGAAAUCAAGCAAGAAGGGCUAACACAACAAGGUACUUGAUUAGUACCCGGUGGCGCAUGCAACCCAAAGAGCUUCACAGCAGGGGAGGAUAGCAGUGUGGCAGAAGGUGAAAAGGCAAGGUGAAAAGGCAGAGGGGUUUCUCCAGCGGAUGAUUGUGUGUGGCCACAGUCAAAGGGAUGGCUCCUAUUUAUAGUGGGGUGAAUAGCUAUGUCGGUUUGGAGAGGCAUUACAUCUGGCAUGCAUGCGUGGUUAGUCUUGCAUGCAUGCCUCCACUUGUGUCUCUUGUGGGCUGUACUAGGGACAAGUGUAAUUUGCUUGGCUGGCCAUUAGUUGGCAUUUACUUUGUGUGAAGGAAAUGAGACAAGGGUCUAUAAAAUAUAGGGAGGUUUGGAGAAGAAUUGUUGUGCAUGACUAAAUGCUAUUAGCUGUAAUAAAAAUAACAAUUAAGUGUA